GCUUCAGAGAGCCGGAGGUGGUGCGCGGGGCUGCAGGGCGCGCCCUCAAGCAGUCCCCAGCUCGGCAUUGGGGGGCACGGGCAACAGCAUGGACACCAAGCGCUGCUUCGCCAACCGCUUCGAUGAUUACCAAGGCAGCCUGCUGGCGGGUCAGUGCGAAGAGGCGGUGGCGCCCUUGGUCACCGCCACCAUAGAGCGCAUCCUCCAGGAGCUGCCCCCGCUUAGGGGAGGUGCUGAAGCCCGGGGGGCGACGGCUGGGGCCAGCGGUUGCCAGGGGGGGCUGUACGGCGGCGUGGCUGGGGUGGCCUACAUGCUCUACCAUGUCUCACAGAGCCCGCUCUUCGCCGCCGCCCGGGAGCGCUACCUGCGCUCGGCCAAGCGCCUCAUAGACGCGUGCGCCCGCGCCGAGGAGUGGGGCGAGCCGGACGUCGACACACGCGCUGCCUUCCUGCUCGGGGGCGCGGGCGUGUACGCCGUGGCCACGCUGGUGUACCACGCCCUGGGCCGGUCCGACUACGUGCAGCCGCUGGGCAAGUUCCGGGCUCUGUGCGCCGUCUGCGCGCCGGUCUCCUUCCUGGAGUGCGGCUCCGACGAGCUGUUCGUGGGCCGCGCGGGUUACCUAUGUGCCGCGCUGGUGCUCAAGCAGAAACUCGCACAGGAGGUAAGAGGCAGCCCUGGCCGCGGGAGGGCGCUCGCCGCCUGCCCGACCCUGCCCUGCCGCUCUUCCCUGAAUUCCCAG